GACAAAAGAGCAUUGGACUUUUUGACAGACAAAACUCCUCAACGUGCUGACUUAAGAUGGGAUAUGCUAUAUUCUAAAAGAGUAUUUGAUUCGUAAUCAAAAUUAAAAUCAAAAUUGAAAUAAAAAUUAUUAAAAUUAUUAUAUUUCUAAAAAUAUUUGAUUUCUGAUCAUAAUCGGAAUAGAGAUUUGAAUUCUUAAGAGAGAGUCGGGAUUGAAAUUCAAGG
rnacentral:lncRNA from 1 species